UACGGAGGGUGCAAGCGUUAAUCGGAAUUACUGGGCGUAAAGCGCACGUAGGUGGUUCGCUAAGUCAGCUGUGAAAUCCCCGGGCUCACCUGGACUUGCAGUUGAAACUGGUGAGCUAGAGUAGGGUAGAGGGGUGUGGAAUUCCAGGUGUAGCGGUGAAAUGCGUAGAUAUCAAGAGGAACACCUGAGGUGAAGACGGGUUGCUGGGCUGAUACUGACGCUGAGGUGCGAAAGCGUGGGGAGCAAACAGG
rnacentral:rRNA from 1 species